rnacentral:rRNA from 1 species
AUGAUAAGGUUGCUACGCUCAAAGGACAACGGGUGGUACAUCAACGAGCACAGGACACUCCACAAUCACUCUCUGACAGAUAAGUGUGGACAGAAAAUAUACUGCCCCUCGCAUAGACAUAUCGACAUUUACACACGAGAUGUUAUCAAGCAGUUGCGUGAAAAUAAUAUUAGCAUUGGCAAAGUGUACAACAUAAUUGGCAGUUUCUUUGGCUCCAUGAGCAGUGUGCCUUUCCGCAAGAGAGCUUUGAGGGGGCUUUGUGGAGAGAUUAGCCGAGAUCAGGCAGACGAUGACGUCAGAAAGUUUUUGCUGAGUUGGGAUCCAAAGAUUCUGGGUUGUAUACAGAGUACAACGGGAUGCGGACAGCCGCAUACGAAAUCUGCUAUGGUCGACAGGCGCAAGCAGGGCACAAUAUCAUUACCUUGGAGAUGCAAUAACUUUUGA